rfam:Paxillus involutus ATCC 200175 unplaced genomic scaffold PAXINscaffold_42, whole genome shotgun sequence.
CCGACCUUAGCUCAGUUGGAAGAGCGCGAGACUGUAACGGAUACAAAAAGAUCAUCUUGAGGUCGCCUGUUCGAGCCAGGCAGGUCGGA